rnacentral:rRNA from 1 species
UAGGGAAUUUUCGUCAAUGGGGGAAGCCCUGAGCGAGCAAUGCCGCGUGUGUGAAGAAGGUCUUCGGAUCGUAAAGCACUGUUGUAAGUGAAGAAUGCCAUAUAGAGGAAAUGCUAUGUGGGUGACGGUAGCUUACCAGAAAGCCACGGCUAACUACGUGCCAGCAGCCGCGGUAAUACGUAGGUGGCAAGCGUUAUCCGGAAUCAUUGGGCGUAAAGGGUGCGUAGGUGGCACGAUAAGUCUGAAGUAAAAGGCAAACAGCUCAACUGUUGUAUGCUUUGGAAACUGUCGAGCUAGAGUGCAGAAGAGGGCGAUGGAAUUCCAUGUGUAGCGGUAAAAUGCGUAGAUAUAUGGAGGAACACCAGUGGCGAAGGCGGUCGCCUGGUCUGUAACUGACACUGAUGCAUGAAAGCGUGGGGAGCAAAUAGGAUUAGAUACC